UUGGAGGGCAAGUCUGGUGCCAGCAGCCGCGGUAAUUCCAGACUCCAAUAGCGUAUAUUAAAGUUGUUGAGGUUAAAAAGCUCGUAGUUGAACCUUGGGCCUAGCCGGCCGGUCCGCCUCACCGCGUGCACUGGCUCGGCUGGGUCUUUCCUUCUGGAGAACCGCAUGCCCUUCACUGGGUGUGCCCGGGGAACCAGGACUUUUACNCUGAACAAAUUAGAUCGCUUAAAGAGCCUANGCUCGAAUACAUUAGCAUGGAAUAAUAGAAUA
rnacentral:rRNA from 1 species